CAGAGGGUGCAAGCGUUAAUCGGAAUUACUGGGCGUAAAGCGCGCGUAGGUGGUUCGUUAAGUUGGAUGUGAAAUCCCCGGGCGUCAACCUGGGAACGUGCAUUCAAAACUAGUCGAGCUAGAGUAUGGUAGAGGGUGGUGGAAUUUCCUGUGUAGCGGUGAAAUGCGUAGAUAUAGGAAGGAACACCAGUGGCGAAGGCGACCACCUGGACUGAUACUGACACUGAGGUGCGAAAGCGUGGGGAGCAAACAGGAUU
rnacentral:rRNA from 1 species